GGCUUAUUCACGAGGUCAAGGACCAUGCGCAGUUUACAUGCACCAUGAUGCCUGCUAACUUCAAAACAAGCGGGCGCGAUCAGCAGAAAUAUGUCACUGUGAUUUAAGAUGUUUCCUCUGUUAACUGCCCAUCAACAUUGAGCACUUGACUCACCUGCUCUCAAACUCUGUGGUCCCAGUUCCAAUACAGGAUAUAUUUUAUAUGUGUAACAUAAGAUCAGUAAUUCUUCUCUGUGGUGGUUGUCAGACUUUUUAGUAAUAUUUCCAUGUCUUCAAAUGAAAGUGUAAUAAAACUUGACAAAAUUA